ensembl:miRNA gga-mir-7445-2 gga-mir-7445-2
AAAGUUAAACAGACUCAUCCACAACAGGAGUGUCUCGUGGAUGAGUCUGUUUAACUUUAU